AUGAGAAGGCACGAAAGAGUUCAUAGUUAUACCUUUACUGUUGUCUUCCCCAGUUUCCUCUUCCUCCACCUCUUCAACAUCCUCCAUAUCUGCUGGGUCCAUUUCAGCCUGGUCUUUACUGUCAAGAUCUGCCAUGUUGUUUCACCGUUUUGUUUCCUAGAGGGAAAAACAGAAAGGAAAGUGUUCAUUAUGUUCAACAGCCUCAAGCUAAAUCCGGUCGAUGAUGGUCUUGCUGGUCAGGUGACAGUAUUGGGAGGAUUCAGGCGGCCAAUAUGUCAAAAGCUUAACUAUUUAGAUGCAGAAGCAUCCAGAUGUGUCAAAACGUCCGAUCAGAUCAGAUCUGAUGGUGCAAAUGCAUUGAAACACAUGCACGCUGCCAUUCUCGUGACAAAGAACUUCAGCGGUAGAAAUUCAACCCCUGGGGUUUAACGGGAUAGAUUAGCUAUAAAAAAAAUCUUCAGCUCUGAAUCUGACGGGAUCCAUUUGUCAGGACCCGACCUGCAUACGAGCCAACUCCAACGCACAGUCGGAUCAAACCCGGGCUCAGACGCCCACAUCCAGUCCUCCAGCGGGAAGAGCAAGCGGCUUCAUUCAUUCACCAGCUGAUUGCUACAGACAGAACGUUCUCAGCCUACUCUGCUCUUCGCCUGUAGAUCAAUAACAUGAAGACCUGACACCAUCCAUCCCUUCUUGACAGAUUUGAAGGUUAAUCUCUUCCUCUUUCUGUCUGCAUCAAGAUCAGACAACUGAAACCUGUCAAUACGAGACAUAUGAGAUUUUCCAAAACCACGGCAGCAUCAGAUCAUCUUAUUUCACAACAAGACGUCACAACACCGGGACAAAGUUCCUGGCACAUUUCCUCUAGACUCUGAUUAACCAUUUUUUAAUCAGCAAGCCUUUAAACCUUACAAUAUCUAGCUGACCUGGGAGCAAAGGUUCAAUGCACUUGUUAAAACCUUUUAAUGCUUCCCAAACCUUAUGACAAACACAUUUCCAAGACUCCACCAUGAAUCAUUCCAGUCAGUUGUGACUUUUUCAUGCAAAGAUUGCACUCGAUUGCAAUCUCAGGUCUGCAGUGUAGACUAGACAUGCAUGACUUUUCAAUAUCUCUGUGAUAACACACAAAAAAAAAGUUUUGAUUAUGCCUUUCCAACACAGAAAUGACGAAGUUAAAACAAAAAUCCUGAAAUUACUAACAAUACAUCAACAACUACUCAAAUUAUUAUUAUAUUUUCUUUUAAAUAUAUAUAUUUUGUUUAUUAUUUAUACAAGUCAGAAAUAUUUAAUAUAAAUAUAAAAGGGAUGAAAUAUGGUAAUACUGGCUGACUUCCAUUAACGUACACAGCCUUGUUCUAUUCAACAAGAGCCUCUUGCAAACCACCAGCCACAUUUCAUACAGGUGUGACAAUUUAAACCUCAAACUAACCAACUCUACCCAGGCAUUGCUACAGCUACUAUCUAAAACAGCUGUUUAACUCUUAAACUGGGUUAAUGAUCCUGGAUGUGAUCCACGGGUCAGUGCAGUGGUCUAUUCCCACCAGGCCACCGCACCACGUGUCUCCUCCACAGACCCACCGGCUAACCGUUAGCAGCACAGCUCUCUCAUAACCAACACAGAGGCUGAUAACAUCAACAAAGUGCUUCAGAUUCACGCUUAUCAGGAAAAAACGGCACGCUAAACUGAGUUUAAACUAGCAUCAGAUCAUUUGAUCCUAAUCAUGCUCAAACAUGGGCCAUAUUUACGUCUCCACAUAUCAGAUUCUCACUAAAACCGACUGAUUAGUUAAAUAAACCAGUUUUAUUUCCAUUUUUCCGACAACGUGAGACAAGAAAAAAAAAAAUAAUUAACGUAACGUUACCCGCCAGAUCAGACCAACGAUCAUCAUCCUGACAACACGAAGAAAUACGCCCGUUAAAAACUAUUGUAACCCAUCAACCAAACGUUUAAACGUUAAACCCCCAGUUUGCUUUGUCUGUUUAACGGCUAAACCUGAUUUUACUCGAUAUUUAAAAAACGAACAGCCAUUUUCAUCUCCAUCAUGGAGGAGUCCGUCUCAAUGGCUGAGCGGUUAGCUCGCGAGCUAACUCAAACAUCACAUUCUGACGUCUCGUUUAGUGUUAAAUCUCGACUUAAGUACUUGUUUAUCUUCUGGUGUGCACAAAAAGAGGUUUAUAAGCAGUCCCUCGGCGGUAUGUGCUCUUACCGAGAGCCCGAUGUGCAGAGGUCCGUCUGAGGCGGUGCUGCUGCGCAGUGAACAGCGCGAGUCUCCCGCUCUGAUGGCGCUAAAAGGGAAAGAGAUCCCGCCGCGUGCGCUCAUAUACAUCUGGCGUCAGCACGUAACACAAGGUCGCGCUUUCACUAAUCCUACUACGGCGUAGGCGGAGCUUAUGAAUAUUAAUUACGCACCGCGCUGUUCGGGCUAUUCUCAUUGGUUAGCGUCUUGCACGUUAGCUAAUUAAUAUUUAUGAGCGAAGCCUUGGUCAUAGUAGGAUCCGGAAAUGUGCCACCAGGACGAGAACACGUGCAAAGGGAGGGGCUGCCGGAAAUCGUUUAGGGGGAAUGUCAUUGUUUUAGAAGAAGGCAGGGGUGGAAGUUCCCGCCAAAGAGUUUGCCACGAAAUAUUUUAAAACUAAAUCUAUCUAUCUAUCUAUCUAUCUAUCUAUCUAUCUAUGUCUGUCUGACAUAACAAACUUGGGAGCAUUUUGUUAAAAUAAAUUAUUUCCUAUAAUUUCUGGGUAUGCAAUGUGUUAAAGCAUUCCUGGGCGCUAUCAAAUUUGUAAGAAUAUAAAUAGAGUCAUUGUUCUGUGCGCUUAGAAGAAAAGAAAAAAGACUGGAAUGCCAGAAAACUGCUCGGCUUAGAGAUGUAGGUUACUUUGCACUGAUUUCCGUCAGAGAGUGCAGUAUUAAACUGUGAAUAUUAAUAACCCUUGAUCUCUUGAUAUCACAUGUUACCAGAAGGUUCUGGCAGUGUUUCUAUAAAACCAAAAAUUUCUGACUUGUUCUCAUUGAGCCUCAGCAGUUUCUGACACUCAUUAAGUUGGCUUGAGAAAGCCAACUUACUGAUCUACUAUUUNUAUUGUUGCUCUCUUUAUGAAAGAAAAACAAAAAGAAGUGGAGAAGAAAAAACUAAAGGCAAAGGAAAGAAAAGCUGAGUUUGUAGGCAUCUUUAAAUAUUAUAAAGGCUUUGAGGAAAGAGCCUCACUCCAAGCAGACUGCAAAAACUCUGUCAAGCUGCAGAAACGGUCCGUUCAAGCAUCCUUAAAGUAGUCCAAAUGUCUUGUGCGUUGUGUUAGAGUGAGUUAAUGAUGAGAGAAAUGCAUGAAGUAUAUAAACUGAAUAUACUUGGGGAAUGAAAGCGUGUCGCCCCCUCCCUCUGUAACUUAUUGUUCCUCUGUAACUAUCAUCUAGCCCUGAGACUUCAUCCCUGCCCACUCGAUAUCCCGCUGACAGUAAGAGGAGCUGACGUAUAGAUGCCCUCCGUUUUUAAAAAAUUAAUGCCCUGGCAGAGACACAGUUGAGCCGUCAGCGGCUGUAUCUGUGUAACACACUCACACUGUAACUGUGAGGUGUUCACCCAAACACACAUAGGUGCAAAACACCUGAUCAGUGUGAGCAAAACAGACCUUCAUGAUUUAGAUCUAAUUAUACUGUUUGCGAAGGCUUAUACUUCAGGUUACUUAAAAAUGCUGUUACUUAA
ensembl:lncRNA